UCCCUCACCUCAGUACUACUACCUCACCAGUCACCAGUCACCACACAACCGGAGCAAAUAGCUCCGUCAACUGUCAUACACGCCAACACACUCCACCUGCCGCCUGUAGAUCCGAUCGAGAGAAGCCAUGCAGGGUGCAACUGGAGCGCUGAUCACCCUCCUCCGCAAGCUCGGCGAGCUGGCCGUGGCUGAGUUCACCCUGGACAAGCGGGUGAAGAAGCGCGUCGAGUCCCUCCGCGAGGAGCUGGACAUGAUGCACGCGGUCCUCCAUGAACUUGGCGACGUGCCGGCGGAGCAGCUCAAACCGCCGGUCCAGAUCUGGGCGGCCAAAGUCCGGGAGCUCUCGUACAACAUGGAGGAUGCGGUGGACACCUACAUGGUCCGCCUGCACCACGACAGCCAUGGCGACGUCGGCCCCAACAAUAUGAAGAACAGAGUCAAAAAGUUCAUCAAGCGAACCAAAAAGCUGUUUAGCAACGGCAAGGCUCUCCAUCAGAUCUCCGGCGCCGUCCGAGAUGCGCAGAGGCACGCCCAAGAGCUGGGUGAUCUCCGCAAAAGGUACAUGCUGGAGGUGCACACCAAGGGUGAGGGGAAUACCAUUGACCCUCGCCUGCAGGCUGUGUACAAAGAUGUCAUGGAGCUUGUUGGCAUCGAGGGCAUACGGGACGAGCUGAUCCAGAAGCUCCUCGGCGAAGAUGAGAUGUCCAGCAAACAACUCAAGACACUGUCUAUUGUUGGAUUUGGUGGAUUGGGCAAGACAACACUUACCAAAGCUGUGUAUGACAAGAUCAUAGUGCAGUUUGACUGUGGAGUGUUUGUUCCAGUGUCUCGGAAUCCCAAUAUAACAAGGAUUUUCAAGAAGAUGUUGUACGGACUUGAUAGGAUUAAGUUUGCAGACAUCAAUGAAUCUGUUAGAGACAAUCAACAACUCAUCGAUGAGUUGAGAGCGUUUCUUCAGGAUAAGAGGUACUUAAUCGUGAUUGAUGACAUAUGGGAUGAAGAAGCAUGGGAAAUUAUCAAGUGUGCUUUCUCUAAGAGUGAUCUUCGCAGCCGAGUAAUAACAACAACCCGCAUAAACAGUGUCUCUGAAGCUUGUUGCCCAUUUAGUGGUGAUAUUAUUCAUGAGAUGAAGUCUCUUGAUAAUGAUGACUCCAAAAGGCUUUUCCAUAAAAGAAUAUUCCCUCAAGGAUGUCAAUGUCCCGUUGAAUUAGAGCAAGUGUCUAGAGAAAUUUUGAAGAAAUGUGGUGGAGUCCCACUAGCCAUUAUUACUAUAGCAAGUCUUUUGGCCAGCAAUGAUAAACACAUAAAGCUAAAGUAUGAAUGGGACAAGGUACUUAGUUCUAUUGGCCGUGGACUUGCGGAAGGGCGCACCACGAAGGAUAUGCAAAUAAUACUAUCAUUUAGUUAUUAUGACCUACCAUCUCAUCUCAAGCCUUGUUUCUUAUAUCUCAGUAUAUUCCCAGAAGAUUAUGAGAUAGAUAGAGACUUGUUGAUAUGGAGGUGGAUAGCUGAAGGCUUUAUCCUGGGUGGACAACAAGAAAUUAGCCUAUUUGAGGUGGGAGAGACAUAUUACAAUGAGCUGAUAAACAGAAACUUGAUUCAGCCAAUAUAUGCUGAUGUUGAAUUUAGGGCGGAAGGUUGUCGAGUACAUGAUAUGGUACUUGAUCUCAUAUGUUCUCUAUCGAGUGAAGAAAACUUCGUUACUAUAUGGGAUGGCUCUAAGCAAAACAAGAACAAUUCAGAUAGCAUGGUUCGUAGGUUAUCUUUUCAAAAUAGCAUGUCAGAGCUGACCACUCAUCAGGUUGAUGCCACAAGUAUGUCAAAAUUGAGGUCUGUUACUCUGUUUAGAACUGAUGAUAAUCUGAUCCGGUCUCUUUCAAGCCUCCAAUUGUUGCGUGUGCUGGACUUAUCAGGUUGUGAUCUUCGGAAAAGUAGCUGCCAAAUUGAUCUUAGGUGUGUUGAGAAAUUAUUACACCUGAGGUACCUAGGGCUGCGAAAUACACUUGUUGACCCUCUCCACAUUGAAAUAGGAAAACUUCAAUUUUUGCAAAUAUUGGACUUCACGCCAGGUAAAUCUUUGGAGGUGCCAUCAAGUGUUGUUCGGCUAGGAAAUUUGAUGUGCCUAUAUGUUUAUGAGAACACGAUAUUACCGGUUGGGAUAGACAACUUGGUGUCCUUAGAAGAGCUGAGUGUUGUGACGGUGGAUGGUACUAAUGCGACUGAGAAAGAGCUAGGGAAGCUGGUGCAGCUGAGGGUGCUUCGCCUUUGGUGGAAGGGAGACGAUGAAAGUGUGUGUAAUUCUUUGUUGAUGUCCUUGGCCAAUUUGCAGAAAUUGCGUACCCUAGAGAUUUCUCAAUAUGGGGAUGCAAGGUUCGAUGCCAGCUGGAACGGCUGGGUGCCCCCUCCACACCUCCACGCUCUUUGGUUCAGGAGUUGUACCUCGGCAUUGCGUAGAUGGAUUAAUUCAUCAUUGCUUCCCGUCCUCUCCUACUUGUUUAUACAAGUGGACAGGGUGAGGCCGGAGGUCGACAUGCAGAUCAUUGGGAAAUUGCCCGCUCUUUGUUUUCUCAAUCUGAACACCACCAGAGCCCAAUACACUCCUGUCGAAGGAUUCAUCAUUGGCCAUGAUGCAUUCCCUUGCCUGAGAGAGUGUAUGCUCACUAAUUUCCAGAUAGGGCCAUCUAUGUUUCCACGAGGAUCUAUGCCCAGGCUUGAAACACUUUACUUCUGUGCCCGAGCAUCGCACAUCACUGGUGGUGACUUGGAUGUUGACAUGCGGCACCUCCCUUCUCUACAGAAAGUCACGGUUCGUCUUUGGUCUGAGGAAGACUGCUUGCCAGCAGUGCAGAAAGCGGCUGAUAUGCUGAACAAAGCAUUGGACGUCCAUCCCAACCACCCCGCCCUUCAUCAUUGGUUUGAGGAACCUUUACCCGAAGAACGAGUACAAGCAAAGGAGCCUGCAGCAGCCAUCACUGUGAGCGACCGAGGAAGCGAGGCAGUUGUGAUGUAGAGCUAAUUCCAUCCAUUCAAAUUAAUCCGCAGGAGUGCUACAUUUUGUUCAUCAUGGCUCAGGUGGCAGCUGAGUGGUUUUUGGAGGAAGGCAUGGCAUGGCCCCUGGGAAAGUGCUGCUAGUGCUUGCCACUGGACGAUGCUUUGUUCCUCCUCCUGAAGUGCGAAAAUCCCAAAGCUUCAGACGCCUAUGUUUGGUUCUGUGAUCUAUCUAUGGAACUGUGCGGGAGCUUAUCUCAUACGAUCCCCCUGAAGUUUGUAAUUGGCUGGGAUCAGCAUGUGCGUGAUAUGCAAUGCUUUGGACUGCUUUGGAGGGCGUUGAUCACAUUUUAUUUCAGUGUAUGUGGCAGAAGCCGGCGGGGUGUGUCAAGUGCAGCAUGUAUCUCAAGUUUCCAUGGAGAAGAAAGAUUGACGCGAGGCUGAAAAAUGGUUAAUCCUGGAAAUGUGCUGAGAGUGGAGUUGACUGAAAAACUCAUUUCUUGCGUUCCUUUCCUAUUUAUUUUACUUUGCUGUUUUUUGCGAUCUACCUGCUGUUACAGAGGGCCGGAGUAUAUGCUCUUAUCGUACUACACACAAUCCAAGAAUAAAAGGACUAAUAAUUGAAGUGUGCAGCAAACUGUUAAUAGUAACUACAUAUCUGAAAAACUCCAGGUUCGUCAGAGUUAGCAAGCUAGGCAGAAUGGAACUGUCCAGUCCGAAGUAGCAGCAUUAUAAUGAUUGAGCUUUUUCCCUGGAACUGAACUGCAAUCACAGUAUGAAGAACAGAUUUACAGAUCAACGGUACAGAAACAGGCAUGACUUUCCAGAGCAGCCAUCAUCAUCAUACAGAAACAUGCUCCUAACAAUUUGUGUGGUGAACCUUUGAAGAAGAGAGAUCCUACAUGCAAGAGGACGCUAACUAGCUCUCAGAGAUGCUGGCCGAAGUUGAGCAGACAAGUGUGGAUGACAUGGCGUUUGAGUUAGCAAACUCCGCACACGGACUGAGGAGGGAGGAAAGAGUGGAUGGGAGCUGGCAGGCGCCCGCGGCAGCGAGCGCACGAAUUAUUAUACACAAGGCUGUAUAGCUUGCUGCAUGCGUAACGAAGAAGCACAUGACAGUGAAAAUCAUAAAGCAAGGAGCACAAAUACGUACUCCCUCAGUUCCUGAAUAUAAGUCAUUUUAGAGAUUGCACUACAAACUACAUACGGAUGUAUAUAAACUACUAUGGUUGUAUGAAUAUGCCCACCCCUGAUCCAGGA